UGCAGUCGAAGCUUCUUUUUCACCGGAGCUUGCUCCACCGGAAAAAGAGGAGUGGCGAACGGGUGAGUAACACGUGGGUAACCUGCCCAUCAGAAGGGGAUAACACUUGGAAACAGGUGCUAAUACCGUAUAACAAUCGAAACCGCAUGGUUUUGAUUUGAAAGGCGCUUUCGGGUGACGCUGAUGGAUGGACCCGCGGUGCAUUAGCUAGUUGGUGAGGUAACGGCUCACCAAGGCCACGAUGCAUAGCCGACCUGAGAGGGUGAUCGGCCACAUUGGGACUGAGACACGGCCCAAACUCCUACGGGAGGCAGCAGUAGGGAAUCUUCGGCAAUGGACGAAAGUCUGACCGAGCAACGCCGCGUGAGUGAAGAAGGUUUUCGGAUCGUAAAACUCUGUUGUUAGAGAAGAACAAGGAUGAGAGUAACUGUUCAUCCCUUGACGGUAUCUAACCAGAAAGCCACGGCUAACUACGUGCCAGCAGCCGCGGUAAUACGUAGGUGGCAAGCGUUGUCCGGAUUUAUUGGGCGUAAAGCGAGCGCAGGCGGUUUCUUAAGUCUGAUGUGAAAGCCCCCGGCUCAACCGGGGAGGGUCAUUGGAAACUGGGAGACUUGAGUGCAGAAGAGGAGAGUGGAAUUCCAUGUGUAGCGGUGAAGUGCGUAGAUAUAUGGAGGAACCCAGUGGCGAGGCGGCUCUCUGGUCUGUACUGACGCUGAGCUCGAAGCGUGGGAGCAACAGGAUAGAUACCU
rnacentral:rRNA from 1 species